UUCACUUUGUUGUUUUGUGUUGAAAAGGAAGAGCGGCUGAAGAACUGUGGCAUAAAGUAAAUAUACUUUUUCCAAGUGCAGUUUCAACUGUCCGUAUACCAUUCAGUAACUCAACAGAUGCAUCAGCCAAUUUUAAAUAGCUUGGGAGUGAUGCUAAUGACAGACCUCCUGCGAUCAGCCCUGGCAGUGAGACGGAGGUUGUGAUGUCAGUCCACUACAACUUUGUAGCAGCACUGGCUCCUUUUUCCUAAUUUUACACCUUCAGUACCAAGAGGAGGCKUCACGCAUCCAAAGAUUUAGCUGGAAUCAAUCCAUCCACUGGUUAGAAGACCGCCACAGCAGAGGUCGUCAGCAACCAAUGCGGAAAGCUAGCGGAGGAGAAGAGACACAAUUCAUGUCCAUGUCUAACGCACUUUUKUACGUYGCGCUGUUCCGUACAUUUGACCUUAUUUUAGCACCCCAAACAAUGUAAUACUUCCAGGUCAACUGUAAUAUGUAAAACACAAUUUCUCCCCUUUCCAGCAAAAUCCACCACGAGAACUUGAUGCUGCCCGUCUCUGCAGGAAAUGUCUGGAAAGGGAACGGCCCAACAAGAGCCCAAGCAAUGGCGCAGCUACACCUCCGAACAGCUACAGGCUGCUGUCGAGGUGCAGGGAGGAGCCUGAGGGAGGUGGCUCUCGAGUUCAGUAUACCUCACACCACUCUCCAGGACUACAAAUAUAUAUAUAUGUGCCAAUGUGCCAAUGCCCUUCACCCAAACCUUGCAAUCACCCCAGAUGUGGAGGCCCAGCUGCUAUGCUAUAUCCUGUGGAUGGCYGAACAUGCCUUUCCUCUCAGCAGGACAGUCAAAAAGCUCCUUCGAGAUCCUCAAGGAGAGUGGACGCACCAUCACCGUCAACUUAGAGCGGGGUCUUCGUGACAACUGGUGGUUGAGAAUCAGGACUCGCCACCCUGAACUGUCCAGCAGGAUCCCAGACACCUUGGAACGGGACAGGGUGCAUGGGACAACUCCAUGAGGCAAUCAAGGGCUUCUUCAAUAAGUAUGGGUUUGGAAAAAGAAAAAGCCACACCUCACCUUUAACUGUGAUGAGACGGGGUUCGGCGACAAGUCCASGGAGCGGGUGCUGGUGCAGAAGGGCAGAAAGCAUGUUUAUCAGCAACAGAACACCACCAGGGAGCACAUCACUGUGCAUGACUGCGUGAAUGCAGCRUGUGAGAGUAUSCCCUCCUGUUYAUCUUCUACACCGUCAAUGMCUCCCCUGUACUGCCUACKCCCUGGAGUGUCCCAAGGAYGCCCUUUAUGGAGUCUCCCCCUUGCUGAGAGUCCCCUUCUCCUCAUAAUGGAUCAGCACGAGACGCAUGGCAUCCAGGGACGUGGUUAGGUUUUGCCGGGAGAACACKGUGGAGGUGGUGUUGCUGCYAUCACACACCACCCAUGUGAUGCAGCCGCUGGAUAUCGGUGUCUUUGGGCCCCUGAAGUGGGUUUUCACCACCAACCCGGCACGCCUGGUGCAGGGGGGAUGUUGUCUCUGCCGUGCUGCACCAGGCCUGCACCAAGGCGGUGAGCAAGGAAAACAGAGUGGGCUCAGGAAGGUUUGGAUUUCCCCCCCCAAACCGGAAGGCCUAGGACCACACCCAGAUGGUGAGGAUCGCAGCGGCCCCCACCUUAGCCCCCACAGCAGCCACCCUGGCAGCUCCUACAGCAGUGGACAAUGCAAUUCCAGCAGCAUCAACCCCAUGUCCUGUAUGCUGUCCCACCUGCAAGCAGGUCACCCCAACCAACCCCCUGGUGGCUGCAGGAGUUGUCUCAGUGAGGCUGGCAAACGUCCUGACGCCUCCCACCUUGGCAAACAAGUUUGUUCAGCAGCAGCAGCCGACCGUGAGGCGUGGACUUCCCCUAACAGCUCGGGUCAUUACCGCUGACGACUUCAAUGAAAUGCUCAUCCAGAAGGAGAAGGAGAAGCACAGGAGGCGGGAGGAACUGCACGGGAGGCAGGAGCAACUUCACGGGAGGCAGGAGCAACUUCACGGGAGGCAGGAGCAACUUCACGGGAGGCAGGAGCAACUGCACGGGAGGCAGGAGGAAUUGCAAAGGAAGAGAGAGAAGAACAAGAAACGCAAG